UUUGAAGAUAAAAUGUUGCCUCCAAUUUGAGGGUACAAGUGUAACAUGCAAAAAUGAAAUUUUUUAUCAAAAUCUUGUUUUCGGGAAUGGUGUAUUAGUUGAGAGGUGCAUUAUUGUAGCUUGAAAUAGCAAAUUAACGUUAUUGUAUAAUACAUGGAUAACCGUGAUAUCUUAAUUUAAUCCCCUUUGAUGAGCUAACUAUUUUGGUGUAAUACCGAAAUCAUUAUCGUAUAGAUUUUAUUAGUUUAUGAUGCACUUAUUGGAAGCAUUUCGUAGAUUCUUUCAUGCCUUUUUUCAGUUUGCAGCUUGUGUUUCAACACUCAAUUUGGAAAGUAAUUGACCUAAAAGGUUAAUGGCAAAGUAUUAGUACUGAAAGGAGUAGUAAACAAUGAAGGCAAAGCAAGAAUGGCAACCUUGUCUACUUUAGAAUGUCGAAUGCGGAUUGAAAUUGUACAAGCUAGAAACAUAGUACCUUCUAAGACAAAUGGAGUUUGAAUUUCUCGUUCCAGAAAAUGCUAGGUUGCAGGCUCACAUUUCGCAACGGAGUAACUUAAAGUAUGUGAAGACAAUCCUGGAGCACUUCGACAACAGACAAGUCGAGGACUUUCGAAAUUCAUGCCUUGAGUUCUUCAUCGAGGUGCCUGACAUACAAUUUUCUGCCUAGCUCAUCCAACAGCUGGUGUUUAGAUCCCUCCGCACUGAUAAGACAAAUGAGGUGUAGUUCAACGUACAAGGGCACAUGACAAGGGGUGGACUAUAUGAGUAUAUGCUUGUAAUGGAGGCGGUGUGACCACAAAGAGGCGUUGAUCGGUACGCCUUCGACGUCCAGCACCUGUUACAAAGACUCUGCACACGAGGGAGAGGCGAAAAAGAAUGAAGAAAUAAGUGUAUUGCCAUUUAUGUUAACAGUUUUUUUUUAUUUUGCUUAGUCGGUGAGACUAGUACGCCAUUUUCUUCAGGCAUUUCGGGUAGUGACGAUGGUUAUAUAAUGUUGUCAGGCCACUGUGAUUGUUUUUGGGUGACAUUGUUUUGAGGCAUCGUGGAAAAGAAUUUUGUUAUGGUCCUGAAUAAUUCACUGUGACAUAAAAGGUAACAUUUUUCACCGUUGUGCUUAAGAGCUUGCACUGCAUUUGUUUUCACUACUAAAUAAUUUUGU